AACGAUCGCGUGCGGCCAUCGCGGUGUCGUGCUUCGCAUCCCCAUAUUGCAACAGAAAUUUAUCACGCAACAAAUCGCGGGUAAGUGGUUGCGUGCCUGACUUGUGCUUAAGGAAAAGAUCUGCGGCCCACUCCUGAGCCUUGCCCGUUUGCGACAAGUCAAAAUAUUGCAUAAGAAGCGUGAACCAUGUCUUUGUAUUAGUAAUUUGUGAAUCCUUCUUCCCACUAAAACGAGGUGGUGCAAGGAUACGCUUAUUUACCUCCGAGGUUCGGGCGGACUUGGAAGAAGGGGCUGCCUAGCCGGAAGGACCACCGGCCGCGGCUUUCUUGGCCAUGCCCUCACUCCAUAGUUGCUUGACCUCGUCCAAGCGCACUUCGGGGUUGAGGUGGCGCUGAAGAAGCGCCUGGAACGCGCAAUUCUGCAGCAUGUCGACCUCGAGGAACGAGGCAAUAUUGCUGUUCAGCGUCUCACAAAUUCCAUCGAUAAUGAUGGACUUGCGCCGGCCGGACACCCGCGGGUGUCCGAAGAACUCGGAGACGGCGACGCAGGUAACGCGUCCCGAAGUUGCGUCUGAAGAUCCUUACGGAUGGAGGUG
rnacentral:lncRNA from 1 species